rnacentral:rRNA from 1 species
UACAGAGGUCUCAAGCGUUGUUCGGAUUCAUUGGGCGUAAAGGGUGCGUAGGUGGCGAUGCAAGUCGGAUGUGAAAUCUCCGGGCUCAACCCGGAAACUGCAUUCGAUACUGCAUUGCUUGAGGAUUGUAGAGGGCAUUGGAAUUCACGGUGUAGCAGUGAAAUGCGUAGAUAUCGUGAGGAAGACCAGUGGCGAAGGCGAAUGCCUGGGCAAUUCCUGACACUGAGGCACGAAGGCCAGGGGAGCAAAC